GCUGGGCGUGUUGGCAUGCGCCUGUAAUCCCAGCUACUUGGGAGGCUGAGGCAGGAGAAUUGCUAGAACCUGGGAGGCGGAGGUUGCAGUGAGCUGAGCUAGUGCCACUGCACUCCAGCCUGGGCGACAGAGUGAGACUCUGUCUCUU
ensembl:misc_RNA Metazoa_SRP Metazoan signal recognition particle RNA